ensembl:snoRNA
CUGGCCCUGAAUCAAGGCUGACAGCUUUCUGGUUUCAAAAAGUAGCCUAAAGAGAUGUCUUUCUAUGGUCUGUUGGCCAUUUCAGAACUUGGGCAGUGAAAUGGUCAACUCAUUAGAAAGAAACAGCU